CGCACCCCGAAGUAGGCUUAACCGUGUGAACCCCACUUCCUAAGGACUGGGAGCAAGAUACUUGCAGCCAGAGUGUUGGGGGCAGGGGCUCCUGAUACGGGCGGGGAUGGCGGCCAAGGCUCAGAGCUGGUGGCAGCCCGGGUCCCCAGGAGCGAGGAGGUGCGGCUGCUCGCUCUGAAGCAGUCCGGGGGCAGCAGGAGCGUGCGGGAGGGAGGCCGCGGGCCCGCCCUCACCUGCUCCUGCCCGGGUGGUCCAGCGACAGGCAGUAAAGGCCCCUCCGGGCGCACAGCGCGUACAGCAACCUGCGCGGCGCCAGCAGCUCCAGGUGCCACACCUGGUCGGGGAACCGGAACGCCGCCUGCGGACCGGGGCGCGGGUCAGGCCGACGCGACGCGCGGGCCCGCGGUCUUCAUUUUCACGCGAACCGCCGCCCCCGCCCGGCCCCUCCCGCCCCCGCGGGCCGGCGCUCACGGUCAGCAGCCCGCCCUCCUGGUCGUACACGUAGACGAGCUCGCUCCCGGUGGACAGGAAGACCUCCGCCUCGUGGUACAGCACGCGGGGCUUGCCCGCCGCCAGGCCCCCGAGAGGACAGCAGAAGCCCGCCAGGAGAGAAGUACUGACCAGAGAACGCCCAUGGAGGGGCCUGCGAGGACACCUCCUCCACGCCCGGAAGACAGCGGAAACCAGGCACACCACUGACAAGUAAACGACCAAGGAACCCCGCCCCCGGUCCGCCUCCCUCCGUUUAAGAAGCCAAUCUGAAGACCGCUAAGGCCAGACACCCUUGAGGGAGAGUCUAGGGGCAGGGCUGCAAAACAGGGCUUGGAAGUUGGGCAGACAUCGUGGGGUCCGGGUGCACCUGCCGGAGCACAAAGCACCACGUGCAGACGUCCUGACCGCCCCCCGCUUUGCGGUUGGGGUGGGGACUGACCCCAGGACAACGGGGAUGUCUGAUACUGGGUGUUGGGAUAGACAGACUCAGGUGCGGCACCGGGAGUCAGUUCCUCGAUCCUCUCUGUCGCCAGGGCUGCUCUGAAGGUGUUUGGGCUGGAAAUGCUGCUGUCUUUGAUGCUGGGGAGUGGGGAGAGGAGGGCCAGGGGCAUCCCAUUUGGCCUUGAGAAUCAGGAAGUGCAGAUGCCGCAUCGUUGUGAAUUUCCCCACAGGGAUCCUCCCCGGUCUUCUGACCGAAUUUCCCCCACAGGGGAUCCUCUGCCGGUCUUCUGACUGCUAGUUUUAACCCUCUGAAGCCUCUUGAGUCGCUCGCUCGCUCACACACACCAACUCCCAUCCAGUCCUCCCAGGCCAUCUCUUCCAUAUGGAUGGAAACAUGCCAAGGCUGUCCUAGAGAUGAUCACGAUCACGUGGAGUAGGAAACGAACAUGGGAGGAGGCCCGGUAAACCAGCAGCCUCACCCGGCGGUUUACUCCGCUGCCCACUCCAUUCUGCUUCGGGGGCUGGCAGGCUCUCGGCCCCACACCAAGCCCAGCUCCUUCUCUCUGCAACAAGAUUUAUGAUCA